rnacentral:rRNA from 1 species
GAGACUCUGUGCGCGUGCAUAUCAAUAAGCGGAGGAAAAGAAACUAACUAGGAUUCCCUCAGUAACGGCGAGUGAAGCGGGAAGAGCUCAAAUUUGAAAUCUUCAAGGUUCUACCUUGACGAAUUGUAGUUUAUAGAAGUGUUUUCUGUAGUGGAGUUUGGUAAAAGUUCUUUGGAAUAGGACAUCAUAGAGGGUGAGAAUCCCGUAUUUGACCAUUACUUCCUAGCGUUGUGAUACACUUUCAACGAGUCGGAUUGUUUGGGAAUGCAGUCCAAAAUGGGUGGUAAAUUUCAUCUAAAGCUAAAUAUUGGCGAGAGACCGAUAGCGAACAAGUACCGUGAGGGAAAGAUGAAAAGAACUUUGAAAAGAGAGUUAAACAGUACGUGAAAUUGUCAAAAGGGAAGCGUUUGACACCAGUGUUGUUUUUCCGAAAAUCAAUUACGAAUGUUUUAUUUUUGAGGAGUUAUGACUUCAUCGGCUUGCUUCUCUCUUUACUGAAACUUUCUUAAUGCACUUUUCGGUUAACAAGUCAACAUCAAUUUCUUUUGUUGUAAAAGGGUACGAGGAAGGUGGCUUUCUUUUCGGAGAAAGUGUUUAUAGCCUUGUAGCCUCUGCAAUCGGAGAGAUUGAGGUCUGCAGCGUAGAUCCUUCGGGGUUAGAUACAGUUUGUGCUAAGUUAUAGCUUUUCAUAGACAACUUGUUGACUAUGUUUAGUCUUGUAGCUUACUCGCUUAUGCUAUUUUACCUACGCUUAGGAUGUUGACAGCAGUAUAGACUGU